AAUAAUUGCCAGAAAGGCUGGAAUCACAAACUUUCCAGCUGUUAUGCUUUUAGCGAUGGUCCACCGUCUGAACACCUGACCUGGGAAGAUGCACGAAAACAAUGCAAACAGAUGAUUUGUUUCUGUUGUUUCUAACCAGACAGAAAAGGAUUUUGUCCAAACACAAAGUCCUGCUCUUUCAUACAUUAAUGGAUACUGGAUUGGUCUCAGAGCUGUAGGAGGGAAAUGGAAAUGGACUGAUGGAAGUGAUCCGACCAAUCAAGCCUGGAUGCAACAGCCUGCAACUGAUGGUCAAUGUGUAACUUCUCGCCAGGACAGAGAAUGGAAAUCUGUGAGCUGUACUAAUAGAAACUCCCGAAUCUGUGAGAAGAAGGCUUUAUCUGUUUAAACAUGAAAUGUUGAGGUUUUUGACAAGCUGUUUGGAAAACCUUAUUUCAGAAUUAUGCAAAUUUCUGGUUGAUUUUUUUACA